AUCUAUCAACCCAACACAAGUUUGACCUUGUUAUUGGUGUUUGGAUAAUGAAGGCUGCUGGAAUUAAAUAUCAGCUCCUUUAAAAUGCAUUAGCCGAACAUUGUAUCAGCUCUGGUUUGAUAAUAAUCUUAUCCGUGCCGUUGCUGGUCAACAAAGUUCAGCUUCAAAUUGUCUCACUUUGAGACUGUCCAAUUUCUGGGCAUUAUUUUG
rnacentral:misc_RNA from 1 species